GACGAACGCUGGCGGCGUGCUUAACACAUGCAAGUCGAACGAAGUGGCGAACGGGUGAGUAACGCGUAAUCAACCUGCCCUUCAGUGGGGGACACCAGUUGGAAACGCCUGCUAAUACCGCAUACUGAAGGAGGUGCUUGCGUCUGAUCAGCUAGUUGGAGGGGUAACGGCCCACCAAGGCGAUGAUCAGUAGCCGGGCGGAGAGGAUGAACGGCCAAAGUGGGACUGAGACACGGCCCAGACUCCUACGGGAGGCAGCAGUGGGGAAUCGUCCGCAAUGGACGAAAGUCUGACGGAGCAACGCCGCGGGAGUGAUGACGGCCUUCGGGUUGUAAAGCUCUGUUAAUCGGGACGCGGUACCGGAAUAGAAAGCCACGGCUAACUACGUGCCAGCAGCCGCGGUAAUUC
rnacentral:rRNA from 1 species